AGUAUGAUGAAAAUAAUUGGUCCGUGUUUAUGAAAUUUCAUGAUUUUUUCUUGAUCCUAUAUUUCUGAUUUAG
rnacentral:snoRNA from 1 species